AUGGAACUCAUGCAGUGGCGCGCCAUUCCUAUCGCCGUCGUCACACCGCUGACCCCGUCACCGCCAGCAACAGCAGAAGGGGCCGUGUGUACACCGCAUGCCACGCCGUUUCCAACGUGGCGGAGCAAAUCCACAUGCACGACCGGGGCGCUCGGACUCCGCCCGCUCUUCGGCGUACCCGCCGGCUCAACCUGCGCGGUCGGCGGCUCCGGCACGACGGCACCCCGGCGGAGUCGUCGUCCGUGCGCUCGACCACGCAAGAGGGCUUCAGCCAUGUGGACCACGCGGGAGCAGGAUCCGUGCUCGGACCCGUCCUCUCCGGGCUCCCGUUCGUGGAGCGCGCCGACGUAG
rnacentral:rRNA from 1 species